CAUCAGCCUGACCGUCGGGACUGACAAACAAGUGAGGACCAACUCCAUGUGCUGUCAGAGCAAUCUCUGCAACCAGAAUAUAACCAUGGCCGUGCCGCCGAAGAGCUCACUCAAGAACGGGCUGCAGUGCGAAGCCUGCAAUGAUUCGAACGCUGACCAGUGCAAGAACCGUGUGAACGUCUCCUGUAUGGGCUCUCAGGAUCGUUGCAUCGACUUUGCUGGGACACCUGUUAGCAGCACCACCACCCCAUUGAUCUUGAAAGGCUGCG